rnacentral:rRNA from 1 species
UGGCUUUAUCAUGCGGCACCUCAGUGCUCUCGUACCAUGUAGGCUGAGACGACAUGUGAACUAGUAAA